ACAAGAACCUGGACAGGAACAAAACCAUUGGACCCCCUUGAUUCAAUCAUUGGGUGAAGAAGCACAUAUUGAGUCACUCCCUCAUGAAGGACCCUGAGCUCAUAUAGAGACCCCCACAACUGACCCAAACUCUCUACUUUUAAGUACUCAAGGUGUCUAUCAAUCUAUAAUCAUUUUUCUUUUUUUCUCAGUUCCAGGUCCAUCCACAAGAGUAGCACCUAAGCCUACCCUGGAACCCACAGGGCCUGGAGGACGCUCCAAAGCUUCUUUGCCGACCACAUCUCCGCCAGCCACAUCCCCAGGUCCAUCAAUUUUCUCAAGCACCACAGGUUAUAACGAAUACCACAAUGCCAAUGUUCCUUCCACUUUCGUCAACUCUGGGGUCUUUAGAAAGGAAUUCUCGGGGCGGGGCCAAGAGUGAAAGCAGUGCAUUGCUUGAGCUCUCCCCCAAACCCUUCCAAAUACCUGUAAAAAAAUGGCUCAAAAAAAAUUCUACAGCAGCAGAAC